rnacentral:misc_RNA from 1 species
UCCGGUUUGUCACCGGCAGUCUCCCUAGAGUGCCCUUGCGUAGCAACUAGGGACAAGGGUUGCGCUCGUUGCGGGACUUAACCCAACAUCUCACGACACGAGCUGACGACAGCCAUGCAGCACCUGUGUUACGGCUCUCUUGCGAGCACUCCCUGAUCUCUCAAGGAUUCCGUACAUGUCAAGGGUAGGUAAGGUUUUUCGCGUUGCAUCGAAUUAAUCCACAUCAUCCACCGCUUGUGCGGGUCCCCGUCAAUUCCUUUGAGUUUUAAUCUUGCGACCGUACUCCCCAGGCGGUCUACUUCACGCGUUAGCUGCGUUACUAAGUCAAUUAAGACCCAACAACUAGUAGACAUCGUUUAGGGCGUGGACUAC